rnacentral:rRNA from 1 species
GAUGAACGCUGGCGGCGUGCCUAAUACAUGCAAGUCGAGCGAACAGACGAGGAGCUUGCUCCUCUGACGUUAGCGGCGGACGGGUGAGUAACACGUGGAUAACCUACCUAUAAGACUGGGAUAACUUCGGGAAACCGGAGCUAAUACCGGAUAACAUGUUGAACCGCAUGGUUCAACAGUGAAAGACGGUCUUGCUGUCACUUAUAGAUGGAUCCGCGCCGCAUUAGCUAGUUGGUAAGGUAACGGCUUACCAAGGCAACGAUGCGUAGCCGACCUGAGAGGGUGAUCGGCCACACUGGAGCUGAGACACGGUCCAGACUCCUACGGGAGGCAGCAGUAGGGAAUCUUCCGCAAUGGGCGAAAGCCUGACGGAGCAACGCCGCGUGAGUGAAGAAGGUCUUCGGAUCGUAAAACUCUGUUAUUAGGGAAGAACAAAUGUGUAAGUAACGAUGCACGUCUGGACGGUACCUAAUCAGAAAGCCACGGCUAACUACGG